CCUCCAGUACAUUACUAAAUUUCUCCAUCAGUUCCGACGAGGUUUUCAUAAGCGGAGAAAUGUGAACAACUUGAACAAGCCAUGAUCAGAGGGAAACACAUACCCUUUGACCCUAGAGAAGGUUCUCCUUUUCACUUCGGUGGCUUCAGCCAUUCCUAGGCUGGGAUUGCCAGUGGAGCCACAGCCAGUUCUUACACAAACAAGAGAAUAAGUCUACCAGGAUCUUCCCGGAAGCAGAUACAUGCAGCAUUGUUUUAAGGCUACCAAUUCACCCAACCCUACGCAGCCUUCAGGGAGGAAACGGAGAGUUGAAUUCUACAGUCACCAACAUUUGGUGUCAUUGUCCAAGACUCCAGCCAAUCAAGUCAUAGACUGUUCUCCCUGCUACCGCACGGCAAGUGGUACCGGGGCACCAAGUCUAGGUCCAAGAGGCUUCUAAACAGCUUCUACCCCUAAUCAAACGGCUACCCAGACUAUUUACAUUGACCCCCCCCUCUCUCUUUUCUGCUGCUGCUACUACUUUGUUAUUAUCUAUGCAUAGUCACUUUAAUAUCACUUUAUCUCUACCUACAUGUAUAUAUUACCUCAACUAACCGGUGCCCCAGUACAUUGACUCUGUGCCGGUACCCCUGUAUAUAGCCUCGCUAUUGUUAUUUUACUGCUGCUCUAAUUAUUAUUGUUAUUUUAUUUUUUGGUAUUUUUCUUAACUACAUUGUUGGUUAAGGGCUUGUAAGUAAGCAUUUCACUCCAAGGUCAACACUUGUUGUAUUCAGCGCAUGUGACAAAUAACAUUUGAUUUAAAGGGAAUUCAUUUAAGGGGAAUUAUCCAAAACGUUUAUUGCAUGACCACCUAGUAAGUUCGGAAUAAAAUAAAAUCAAAUUUAUUUAUAUAGCCCUUCGUACAUCAGCUGAUAUCUCAAAGUGCUGUACAGAAACCCAGCCUAAAACCCCAAACAGCAAGCAAUGCAAGUGUAGAAGCACGGUUGCUAGGAAAAACUCCCUAGAAAGGCCAAAACCUAGGAAGAAACCUAGAGAGGAACCAGGCUAUGUGGGGUGGCCAGUCCUCUUCUGGCUGUGCCGGGUGGAGAUUAUAACAGAACAUGGCCAAGAUGAUCAAAUGUUCAUAAAUGACCAGCAUGGUCCAAUAAUAAUAAGGCAGAACAGUUGAAACUGGAGCAGCAGCACGGCCAGGUGGACUGGGGACAGCAAGGAGUCAUCAUGUCAGGUAGUCCUGAGGCAUGGUCCUAGGGCUCAAGUCCUCUGAGAGAGAGAAAGAAAGAGAGAAAGAGAGAAUUAGAGAGAGCACACUUAAAUUCACACAGGACACCGAAUAGGACUGGAGAAGUACUCCAGAUAUAACAAACUGACCCUAGCCCCCCGACACAUAAACUACUGCAGCAUAAAUACUGGAGGCUGAGACAGGAGGGGUCAGGAGACACUGUGGCCCCAUCCGAGGACACCCCCGGACAAUACCGCAGCCAAUAUUAAUUGGUGAUGUGUGCCAAAAUGAUUGAUAUUAUGAAUGUUUCUGACAAGAUUGGCCAUCAGCAAAAAAAAGUUGUGUAGUGAAAGUUUUCAAAAACAACCAACCAGAAUAAAUUGGACAGUAAUACAUAAUGCAGCUUUAAUAUUUUAAUAAAUGUGUGAUUUCUUAGUAGAGUGGGGAGACUGGUCAUUAUGCAAAGUAGUUAAGUCAUGAAUGUCAAGGGGCUAUAAUAUUACAAUAUGUGCAAUGUUACCAUAAAUCUUACAGUAAAUAUGGACAACAUUUAAUUUACAUGUGUUAUGGCAAUAAAAACAGACCCUGUGGUUCAUCGGUGGGCAACUCCAGUCCUCGAGGGCCUGAUUGGUGUCACACUCUUUCUCCAUCCCUACCAAACACAGCUGAUUAAUCAAAUUGCAUUCUAAACUGAAGAUCAUGAUUAGGUGAUUAUUGAAGUCAGUUGUGUUAGCUGGGGCUGUGGCAAAACUGACGCCAAUCAGGCCCUCGAGGACUGGAAUUACCCACACCUGCUGUAGUUGGUACAUAGUUCGUGGUGCAGCAAGUUGAUGAGGGUAGCGGAGAAGCACUGGUCGGACUUUUUGAGUGAAGUGACUAAGGGUGAAAAGGAUAUAUCAGGGUGCCCAGGAACUUGAAGCUGCUGAUCAUCUCCAUGUCAAUGUAUCGUGUAUAUGGGAGAAUGGUCUUUCAGUCUCACCAUCUACUUUGCUUACACUGAGGCUGUUAUCCUAUCAUCAUUAUGUCAGGUCCCACAGCUCCUUCAUGUACUCGUGAUCAGGUGUACCAUGGUAGUGUUGUCAGCAUGUUUAGAUGUUGGGUCCAUUCUGGAGAUAUAUAUUCUUGUAAUAUGUAUAUAAAAAAAUGAAUUUGUUUUUACAGGGUUUACACCCAGAGGCCUGAGUCUGCUAACAAGUUUGUGGGUCAGGAUGGUGUUGAAAGCAGAGAGACACAGCAAUCAUAACAACCAGCGACACUCCAUCCUAAAGUGUCUGAAGAAGUUUUGCCUGACGUCAAACAUGAAGAGUGUCGGAUUGAAGUGUUUGAAAAAAUGUAAACCACCAUAAGAGCAGAUCACUUUUUUUGUAAUCAUUACUGGCACAGUGAUUUUAAAAUCAUUUCUAAUUCUAGUCGCUUUCAAUUGAUUGACUCCAAGAACCAUAGAUUGUUCGUAGUUCAUAACAUUAACACAACUGACAUUAAACGUUGCUUGACCGUAGAUUGGGAUACAUGUUUUAAUAACAUUGGAUAUUUGAUUGGGCUUAAUGUUGCAUACCUUGCGG